rnacentral:rRNA from 1 species
UAUUGGGCGUAAGAGCUCGUAGGCGGUUUGUCGCGUCUGCUGUGAAAGCCCGGGGCUUAACCCCGGGUGUGCAGUGGGUACGGGCAGACUAGAGUGCAGUAGGGGAGACUGGAAUUCCUGGUGUAGCGGUGGAAUGCGCAGAUAUCAGGAGGAACACCGAUGGCGAAGGCAGGUCUCUGGGCUGUUACUGACGCUGAGGAGCGAAAGCAUGGGGAGCGAACAGGAUUAGAUACCCUGGUAGUCCAUGCCGUAAACGUUGGGCACUAGGUGUGGGGGACAUUCCACGUUUUCCGCGCCGUAGCUAACGCAUUAAGUGCCCCGCCUGGGGAGUACGGCCGCAAGGCUAAAACUCAAAGGAAUUGACGGGGGCCCGCACAAGCGGCGGAGCAUGCGGAUUAAUUCGAUGCAACGCGAAGAACCUUACCAAGGCUUGACAUAUACCGGAUCGUUCCAGAGAUGGUUCUUCCCCUUUGGGGUCGGUAUACAGGUGGUGCAUGGUUGUCGUCAGCUCGUGUCGUGAGAUGUUGGGUUAAGUCCCGCA